UCGGAUAUGGUGUAACGGCUAACAUUGCCGCCUCUCAGCGAGUGUCGCGGCAGCUCGGGGUUCGAUUCCCCGUAUCCGAA